GACAGAGGGGGCAAGCGUUGCUCGGAAUCACUGGGCGUAAAGGGCGCGUAGGCGGGAUGGCAAGUCAGUCGUGAAAUCUCUCGGCUCAACCGAGAAACGUCGGCUGAUACUGCCGUUCUUGAGGGAUGCAGAGGAGACUGGAAUUCCCGGUGUAGCGGUGAAAUGUGUAGAGAUCCGGAAGAACACCGGAGGCGAAGGCGGCUUACUGGACCAUAACUGACGCUGAGGCACGAAAGCGUGGGUAGCAAACAGG
rnacentral:rRNA from 1 species